AGAGUUUGAUCAUGGCUCAGGAUGAACGCUGGCGGCGUGCCUAAUACAUGCAAGUCGAACGAGGUGCUUUUGUAGCAAUACGAGAGUAUCCUAGUGGCGAACGGAUGAGUAACGCGUUGGUGACCUACCCCAAAGUGUGGGAUAACAGUCCGAAAGGACUGCUAAUACCGCAUGUGGUCGUUGGAUUUAGAAACUGAUGACUAAAGGAGCAAUUCGCUUUGGGAGGGACCUGCGUCCCAUCAGCUAGUUGGUGAGGUAACGGCUCACCAAGGCGACGACGGGUAGGGGACCUGAGAGGGUGGCCCCCCACAAUGGAACUGAAACACGGUCCAUACACCUACGGGUGGCAGCAGUAGGGAAUAUUGCACAAUGGGCGAAAGCCUGAUGCAGCAACGCCGCGUGUGUGAUGAAGGCCUUCGGGUCGUAAAGCACUUUUCUGGGAGAUGAGAAAGGACAGUAUCCCAGGAAUAAGUCUCGGCUAACUACGUGCCAGCAGCCGCGGUAAUAC
rnacentral:rRNA from 1 species